rnacentral:rRNA from 1 species
AACGAACGCUGGCGGCGCGCCUAAUACAUGCAAGUCGAGCGAGAAGGUGUAGCAAUACACUUGUAAAGCGGCGAACGGGUGAGGAAUGCAUGGGUAACCUACCCUCGAGUGGGGAAUAACUAGCCGAAAGGUUAGCUAAUACCGCAUACGUUUCCGGAACUUCGGUUUCGGAAAGAAAGCAAUACCGUGGGUAUUGCGCUCCUGGAUGGGCUCAUGUCCUAUCAGCUUGUUGGUGAGGUAACGGCUCACCAAGGCUUCGACGGGUAGCUGGUCUGAGAGGACGAUCAGCCACACUGGCACUGCGACACGGGCCAGACUCCUACGGGAGGCAGCAGUAAGGAAUAUUGCGCAAUGGACGAAAGUCUGACGCAGCGACGCCGCGUGGGGGAUGAAGGUCUUCGGAUUGUAAACCCCCUUUCGGGAGGGAAGAUGGAGUGGGUAACCACUUGGACGGUACCUCCAGAAGCAGCCACGGCUAACUUCGUGCCAGCAGCCGCGGUAAU